rnacentral:rRNA from 1 species
CCUACGGGUGGCAGCAGUGGGGAAUAUUGCACAAUGGGGGAAACCCUGACGCAGCAACGCCGCGUGAGCGAUGAAGCACUUCGGGGUGUAAAGCUCUAUCAGCGGGGAAGAAACCGACGGUACCUGAUAAAGAAGCCCCGGCUAACUACGGGCCAGCAGCCGCGGUAAUACGUAGGGGGCAAGCGUUGUCCGGAUUUACUGGGUGUAAAGGGGGCGUAGGGGGCAGCACAAGUCUGGAGUGAAAGGCCGGAGCUUAACCCCGGAACUGCAUUGGAAACUGGGCAGCUAGAGUGCAGGAGAGGUAAAGGGAAUUCCUAGUGUAGCGGUGAAAUGCGUAGAUAUUAGGAGGAACACCAGUGGCGAAGGCGGCUUACUGGACUGUAACUGACGUUGAGGCUCGAAAGCGUGGGGAGCAAACAGGAUUAGAUACCCCUGUAGUC